rnacentral:rRNA from 1 species
GAUGAACGCUGGCGGCGUGCUUAACACAUGCAAGUCGAACGGACUUAUGAUGAAGCCUAGCGAUUCAUAAGUUAGUGGCGGACGGGUGAGUAACGCGUGGGUAACCUGCCUUAUACAGGGGGAUAACACUUAGAAAUAGGUGCUAAUACCGCAUAAGCGCACAGUUUCGCAUGAAACAGUGUGAAAAACUCCGGUGGUAUAAGAUGGACCCGCGUCUGAUUAGCUAGUUGGUGAGGUAACGGCCCACCAAGGCGACGAUCAGUAGCCGGCCUGAGAGGGUGAACGGCCACAUUGGGACUGAGACACGGCCCAAACUCCUACGGGAGGCAGCAGUGGGGAAUAUUGCACAAUGGGGGAAACCCUGAUGCAGCGACGCCGCGUGAGUGAAGAAGUAUUUCGGUAUGUAAAGCUCUAUCAGCAAGGAAGAAAAUGACGGUACUUGACUAAGAAGCCCCGGCUAACUACGUGCCAGCCGCCGCCGUAAAAC